rnacentral:misc_RNA from 1 species
GAAAUGCGAUAAGUAAUGUGAAUUGCAGAAUUCCGUGAAUCAUCGAAUCUUUGAACGCACAUUGCGCCCUCUGGUAUUCCGGGGGGCAUGCCUGUCCGAGCGUCAUUACGCACCCCUCAAGCCCGGCUUGCGUGAUGGGCCGCCGCGUCCCGGUGACGGGACGGGCCCGAAAUGCAGUGGCGGCGUCGCGGUGAUCCGAUCGGCCCGAGUGUAUGGGGACUCCGUCACACGCUCGCGGCGCGGACCGACGCCCGCCCCCUCUGAACCUCUCUUCUCGGUUGACCUCGGAUCAGGUAGGGAUACCCGCUGAACUUAAGC